CCUACGGGAGGCAGCAGUAGGGAAUCUUCCACAAUGGGCGAAAGCCUGAUGGAGCAACGCCGCGUGGGUGAAGAAGGUCUUCGGAUCGUAAAACCCUGUUGUUAGAGAAGAAAGUGCGUGAGAGUAACUGUUCACGUUUCGACGGUAUCUAACCAGAAAGCCACGGCUAACUACGUGCCAGCAGCCGCGGUAAUACGUAGGUGGCAAGCGUUAUCCGGAUUUAUUGGGCGUAAAGGGAACGCAGGCGGUCUUUUAAGUCUGAUGUGAAAGCCCUCGGCUUAACCGGAGUAGGGCAUUGGAAACUGGGAGACGUGAGUGCAGAAGAGGAGAGUGGAACUCCAUGUGUAGCGGUGAAAUGCGUAGAUAUAUGGAAGAACACCAGUGGCGAAAGCGGCUCUCUGGUCUGUAACUGACGCUGAGGUUCGAAAGCGUGGGUAGCAAACAGGAUUAGAUACCCUGGUAGUC
rnacentral:rRNA from 1 species